CGCCGGCUGCUGGGGCAGGGCGGCGAAAGGUCAGUCGGCCGAGAGGAGUCCGUGGAGCCACCGUUUCAUAGCCUCAGGGAAAGGAUCGGGCGUGCUCACGAGCCCUCUAACCCAUGGCUUAAACACCCGCUUCCUAAGCCUGGGUUCUUAUGCCUUUGUUUGAAAAACAUGGUUCCCUGUGAAAUUUUACAUGUAGAAGACAGCUUCACACUACGAGAGCUCUCAGGAUAUAAUUAUUUCAGACAGAUGCUGGGAACAUAAGAUGUCUUAUCAAUCUAAGAUGGCCUUCCUGUCCUUCGGAUUGAACUGAAACCAUCCCUGAUUCCAGGGAUAGGUAGAUGAUCCAGGUUUGGACAAUCGAAAUAUUGAACCACCCUGGACCUACAAGUGUUUCUGGGAUGGGAACGUGCAAACGUUGGUCCAAAUUGUUGUUCUAGGCAGCCCAGUACAUUUCUCCAAUGCCUGAUGGAAUGAUAGGGUACGCAUAAAUGUUCAUGUGGGCUCUGGAGUAUACCAGGAACUGAAGUAAGGUACAUGGACGUCUUGAAUAUUGUAACUGAGAUGGGCAAGCCUACACCUUUGCAAAUAAAGGAGGAUUGGGAAAGAUUAAGCCUCUCAAGCACUGUGAAAAAUCACUUUCUCUUGUUAUAUUCUUGGAGCCCCUGCUAAUUCAUUAUUGAAAAAUACCUGCUGCCUGCAUUUGGCCUUAUGUUGUCAUUUACUUGGUACUUCCUAAGCGUGGCUACUCCAAUGAAGCUUUAGUAUAUGUACUGAAAGAAGAUCCUCUCAUACUGCCACAGCCAACAGAUAAGGUUGUAAAUCUUUAUUGGGAGAAGCCGUCAAGGACAGUUCUGUGAAAUGAAAGGAUCUCUGGAUCACCACAAAGUCUGGCUCAGUGACUAUGGCUUUGCUAACACUAAACAUUCCUAUCUCAAGUCCUGUAGAUGGCUUGAAAUAGUAUACAUAAGCAUGCCUUAUAAACAUCUUCAGUCUUUAUCAACUCUUUGGAGAUUCAGCCAUUCUUUUUUGUACUUUAGGGAAUUAA
rnacentral:antisense_RNA from 1 species